UACGAAGGGGGCUAGCGUUGUUCGGAUUUACUGGGCGUAAAGCGCACGUAGGCGGAUUGUUAAGUCGGGGGUGAAAUCCUGGAGCUCAACUCCAGAACUGCCUUCGAUACUGGCAAUCUUGAGUCCGGAAGAGGUGAGUGGAACUCCUAGUGUAGAGGUGGAAUUCGUAGAUAUUAGGAAGAACACCAGUGGCGAAGGCGGCUCACUGGUCCGGUACUGACGCUGAGGCGCGAAAGCGUGGGGAGCAAACGGG
rnacentral:rRNA from 1 species